rnacentral:rRNA from 1 species
GACGAACGCUGGCGGCGUGCCUAAUACAUGCAAGUCGAACGCAGUGGGGACGGGUGAGUAACACGUGGGUAACCUCCCAUCAGAGGGGAUAACACUUGGAAACAGGUGCUAAACCGAUACUGGUGGAUGAACCCGCGGUGCAUUCGCUAGUUGGUGGGGUAACGGCUCACCAGGGCCACGAUGCUGAGCCGACCUGAGAGGGUGACCGGCAACACUGGGACUGAGACACGGCCCAGACUCCUACGGGAGGCAGCAGUAGGGAAUCUUGGGCAAUGGACGAAAGUCUGAUCGAGCAACGCCGCGUGUGUGAAGAAGGUCUUCGGAUCGUAAAAUUCUUUUGUCAGAGAGGCGGUAUCUAACCAGAAAGCCACGGCUAACUCCGUGCCAGCAGCCGCGGUAAUAC